rnacentral:rRNA from 1 species
GAGUUUGAACCUGGCUCAGGAUGAACGCUGGCGGCGUGCCUAAUACAUGCAAGUCGAGCGAACCACUUCGGUGGUGAGCGGCGAACGGGUGAGUAACACGUAGGUGAUCUGCCCAUCAGACGGGGACAACGAUUGGAAACGAUCGCUAAUACCGGAUAGGACGAAAGUUUAAAGGUGCUUCUGGCACCGCUGAUGGAUGAGCCUGCGGCGCAUUAGCUAGUUGGUAGGGUAAAGGCCUACCAAGGCGACGAUGCGUAGCCGACCUGAGAGGGCGAACGGCCACACUGGGACUGAGACACGGCCCAGACUCCUACGGGAGGCAGCAGUAGGGAAUCUUCGGCAAUGGGCGAAAGCCUGACCGAGCAACGCCGCGUGAAUGAUGAAGGCCUUCGGGUUGUAAAAUUCUGUUAUAAGGGAAGAACGACUUUAGUAGGAAAUGGCUAGAGUGUGACGGUACCUUAUGAGAAAGCCACGGCUAACUACGUGCCAGCAGCCGCGGUAAUACGUAGGUGGCGAGCGUUAUCCGGAAUUAUUGGGCGUAAAGAGCGCGCAGGUGGUUGAUUAAGUCUGAUGUGAAAGCCCACGGCUUAACCGUGGAGGGUCAUUGGAAACUGGUCGACUUGAGUGCAGAAGA